ensembl:lncRNA
CCAAAGGCAGAAGUGCCCAAAGAAGGCUGGGAAAGCAAAAUCCUCAUAGAGUACUUUUUAUUUCUAGAGAGCUCAGAGAACAUAGAAAAGCCGCUGUCAGGGUAAAGAAAGCUCAUUUAUUAAAUGUCUGCAUGUCUUGACUGCCAUCUUAACUACGGCAAAUAUUAGCGCUUUGAGGUGACAAGCAAGAAAAAAUUGAAUGGACCAUCUGAUGUUAAAGCAUAAACCAUAACCCUCAUCUGUUCCUCAAGAACUGUACUCAUGGAAAGAGCCAACACGAGCAAUUCUUGAAUGACUGUAGCCCAUGGAAGGACCCGUGCUGGAGCAGGAUGGCAGAAGAGAGAGCAUCUGACAAAAUGGCAUCUGAUAUGGAAGAGUAUAUUUGGCAAAGGUGUGUCACUGAAUUCCUCCACAUGGAAAAAAUGGCACUCAUUGACAUUCACUGACUGUUACUGAAUGUUUAUGGAGACCAAACAGUGGAUUAGAGCUCAGUGCAACAGUGAGUGGUGUGUUUUAGCAAUGGUGACAGCAGCAUGAAAGACAAGCCAUGACCCUGAUGGCCAUACACAACUGUCGCACCACAAAAUAAAGAAUCUCUCAAUAGAUCAUCAUCAGAUUUAUAAUGCUGAUUUUAUGAAGUAGAACUAUACAGAGAAGUUGGAAGUGAACAGUGCUCAGAAAAUGCACCAGAAAUUACUCUGUCCAGGGGACUGUGUCUAUAUUGCUACAAAAAGAAAGGCAGAGCCUCAGGACUGCUGAUGUGUCCUAGCUCCACGACGCUUAGGCACCAAGAUAAUCCCGGAGCCAUAUAUCUGUCAUACACCUCCUGGUCCAUCCUUUCUCUGGUUCUUGAAGUAACAGCCUCACCUUGUUCAUUGAACAGUGAAUGUACAUAAAAUGUUGUCUUUUCUCCUCAUGAUUAGAAGAAACAAACCUGACUCUGCCCUGGCAACAAACUUGCUAUGGAGAUGCCAACAGACUGUUUUCUUCCAGAAGCUGUACGCCACUAAAGAGAUAAACUGAGGAUGAAAGCAACACCUACAUCCAUGAGAGAGAGCAUCAGAGAUAUAAGGAAGAGGAUAAACAUACAGCCGUUCAAAGUGUUCAAAUCAAGCAGGAUCCCAUCCCUUAGAGCAGGCAAGUUACCAAAGCGGCUACAAAAACAGCACCUUAACACAGUGACAUUCAGUAGUGCUCCCAAUCCAAAAGCUGGGAGCUGCAUCUCGAUGUGUUUGGAGAUGACUGCUUUUAUAUAUGCACAGACCAGCAGCUGAGCAUGGCAAGGCAUCAAAGAAAAGCACUGCUUUCCUUUUAUACUUGCCAGCAUGAUUUACGGAGAGAGCUGUCUCCCUCAGGAGAUCAAAGUAAUGUUUGCUACAGACACCUUGCUCACAGAGAAGGUGGCAAUGGAAGAGUUUGAAGCAGUUUUCUCAUGUGCUGCCUAAUGCUUUCCUCUCUGUGCUUAUUAAUUUCUGUUUUAAUUCAAGACCAACAAUUGGUGACUUUAAAAGAUGAGAGAUCUGUCGAACACUGGAGAUGUUUUUACCAGACUUUAAGCUAAUGAAAUCGAAAAGGCUUACAAUAAAUUAAAAAUAAUGGUUCUGGAUAUCAUCGAUUUCCUCUCUACAUAUAUUUAGAAACCAAAUGUUUCUUAGACACAGUUAAGAAAAUAGUCAACAAUGAAGACAGAACUGAUCAGAAGAGUGUCUUAAGAAGUCUGCCAGAAAUAAAUACCCGUCUUUUCUAUUCUAUUUCUUCAGUGCAGGAUGCUCCAAGUGUAAAUCCCCCGUUCUGUAUUUUUUUCUGGAGGAAUUAACAUUUCUUUUAUAGAUAACAGCUAGUGGAAAGCACUCUUAGUACUCCUUUGAAGCUUGUAUAUGUAGAAAUAAACUGUUAUACUUCAUGCUCUAUAAAUUUUACUGUUUUCCUCCAAUUUCAAACCAAAUUAAGUCAGAGCUACAUUUACAGGGCUCCAAAUGUGAUUAGCAAUUAUUGUUGCUCAUACAUUAUUUACGGAGCAUUCAUUUUAUAUGCCAAUUACAAGCAUUGAUACACUGUUUCAUAUAUUCUUCUGAACUGGCAACUGAUUUUAAAUUAUACGCCUUAAUUUUGUAUUUUUGGAAAAAAAAAAAAUCUCUGUCACUAACUUAACUGUGAAGAAUGCAAUGCUUCUGUUGGAAACCGAUUACCCAUAACCUAUGAAUCAACAGAGGUCAUCUUACAAUCUACUUUAACUGAUUCAGAGAAGAAGUUUCCAUAACAAAUACAAAUAACCUAAGACUAAACAGAUAAAUCUAUCAACUGUCAGUUGAGAUGGUCAGUUUAUCAGUCUAGGUCAUUCAAAACAGCACUAGGAUUUGAUUUAUCAUGAACACAGACGUGAUAUUUUACUUAGCAUUUUCUUAGUUUUGUUAAAAUAUUUUCAUUAAUAAAUUUAAAUACAAAUCUAUUUAUUUGCAUAUAGAAAUUAAUAAUAUUUGGUCUUAUAUUAGUACAUCUUUGUAUAUAAAGCUGCUGUGUUGCUGGAGACUGCUUAUAGUUUAUCCAGAUGGCAGUAUAAAUACAAGAUUUGAGGGAUGAGAUUGGAUGCUGAAAACUGUCAUUUACAAGCUUAUAUUUCUAAAAUAAAAAACCUCAUACGGCACCUCAAACUCUUCUCUCCCACAGACUGAAAGGACAUAACUCAGUAGGGUCUCAAAAUUCCCUUCCCAACAUCUUUGUGGGUCAG